rnacentral:lncRNA from 1 species
AAAGCUCAGAAACCCAAGCAUACAGUUAACGUUGAUGCUUGAUUAGGUCCAGAAAACUCAAAGUGGGCAGUUGUGUGAGCUAGGAAGUUUUAAAGUGUUAGCACUUUUACUUAGCCAAGGCCAUUAAAACUCAACUAAAACAACACACAUUAAACAAAACAGAUCGGGGAUCAACGUCUUCUGUCAGCCUCAAGUUGGCUAUGCUUUAGAAGAUCGAGCAUGGAAAAGACUUGCCCAGAACCGCGUGGGAAGAAAGCACCUGGUCCAAGGGCUGCCCAUUUGUGUUGUGUUGUAACAGAUGCACAGAUCUCAGGAGGCCAAAGAGUAUCAUUAGGAGGCUUGAGGCUAGUCAAGCUCUCAUGGCCUCUAGUUAAGGACAUCCUUUUCAAUGUGAGAUUUCAGAAGCAUAACACACCGACAAUAGUGACUACCUCAUCUCUUUGCACGGUGAGAAUGGAAUGCGUAAGUUAUAACUGAUAACAACUGCCAUUUCUGAUCUUCCACAUGAACAAAUAUUUUUGAGGUGCCCAGUUACUUACUCUAUGACCUGCACUGAAAGCAUAGCGGUACAUCAGUGAGACGAGGCUUUGUCCACCUGGCGUUUCUGAGCCCAGGUGGAGCCACCCUACUACUGAAAUCACCACCCAAGCAAAUCAUUUGCAUCAUGAAUCUGAAGAAGUUGUCAGAAUGGCAGCUAUCCACAUGUAAUUAAACAUUCUGGAAACAAGCUAGAGGCUCUUAUUACCUUCCGGAACUGCACUGCUGGAAUUCUUGAACUAUGGAUACAAACAAACAAACAAACAAACAACAGGCAAACAACCACCCAACAGUUUUUGGGACCCUCUAAAUGUGUGCCUGGAAUAAGAAAGAAAGGAAGAACAGCAAUAUCAACCAACUAGAUCACCCAGAGCUCCCAGGGAACUAAAGCAUCAGCCAAAGGAUACACAUGGAGGGACCCAUGGAUCCAGCUGCAUAGGUAGCAGACGAUGGCCUUGUCGGGCAUCAAAGGGAGGAAAGGCCCUUGGUCCUGUGAAGGCUUGAUGUCCCAGCAUAAAGGAAUGCUAGAGUGGUGGGGCAGAGGAAGGGGGGAUUGGGAUGGGGGAUUUUCAGAGAGAAAACCAGGAAGGGGGAUAACAUUUGUAAAGCCGGGCAGAGGCAGGUGGAUGGAUUUCCGAGUUUGAGGCCAGCCUGGUCUACAGAGUGAGUUUCAGGACAGCCAGGGCUAUACAGAGAAACCUCUGUCUCGAAAAACCAAAAAACCAAAAAACCAUAAAACCAAAAUAAUUGAAAUGUAAAUAAAAU